UAAAAGAUGUCUCUCUCCUCCCCAUAGAGGGCUAAUGUUCUUCUGGAUCACUAGCUCCUUCAUUUAUACUUCCUCUAUAAAUCGUAUCGUGACUCUCUCUCUCUCUCUCUCUCUCUCUCUAGAUUCCAUUAUAUCUCUACUUUGUCAACCGAAACAACAUUGGCGUCGACCUCUCCUUCCUUCAGCAAGGAGGAAAAAAGAUUCAACCGGCUGUGACGUUUCAAACAAAAAAGCUCCAUGAGUCCGUAUUCUGAUGAUCUUACAUCAAAAAGUGACAACGUGCUUGUGAAGGAGACCCUUUGCCUGCCACCAACCCUCACAUAGAGACCUUUUGCUUCAGGGAAGCUAGCUAGUGCUUUGACCAGGUCGUCGUGUCAAGCAAAAGACAUCAACACACAAGGAUCCGACUCCAUAUGACUUCUAUAGUCCACAACAAAAUGCUUACGAAUCUUCAAGUCGUGAUUGUGAAGGAUGAUUACUUUGAUCGGAUGAUGCCUUCGUUCUUCACUCGUUUUCUGUUAAUCAGCUCUAAACGAAGGUUUCAUUCAUUUACAUUAUGGCACGGCAAUGGAGACCACUGUUGUCUUGGUUUGAAGCUUAAGUUUCACCGGAGCUAUUUUCAGCGUUACUUAACUUAUUUCAUCUGCUUUACUCGUCGCCGUCGUUUCACCUUCACAUCUCCUCUCCGCCGCUCAUCUCUCAAUGGUUACGGGUUCGCCGGAUCUGCUCAUUUUAAGAAUGGGUUCACCGGAUCUUUGUAUGUAUGUAUAUACGAUAUGUGUACGUAUAUGUAUGUACAUGUGUUGUAUGUAUGUAUAUUCGUAGGAAUAUUCAUAUUGUGUAUAUAUGUGUAUGUAUAUGCUUAUAUAUUUCUCCCUAACCCUAAACCCUAACAAAAAGUUAACCCCAAAACUCCACCUAAGGGUUAAUAAACCCUAAACCCUAUCAUAGGGUUAAAUCCUACACCAUGUCCUUAGGUUACACCCUAAACCAUGUCCUAGGGUUACACCCUAAACCCUAACCUAGGGUUAAACCUUCAACCCUAGCCCUAGGGUCAAACCCUAAACCUUAGCCUAGGGUUAAACCCUAAACCCUAGCAUAGGGCUA